GGAUUGUGGCUUAGUGGCAGAGUGCUUACCUAUUACAUGUGAGACACUGGGUUCAAUUCUCAGCACCA
rnacentral:tRNA from 1 species